GACGAACGCUGGCGGCAUGCCUAAUACAUGCAAGUCGAGCGAACAGAUGAAGUGCUUGCACUUCUGACGUUAGCGGCGAACGGGUGAGUAACACGUAAGGAAUCUACCUAUAAGCGGGGGAUAACAUUCGGAAACGGGUGCUAAUACCGCAUAAUAUCUUCUUCCGCAUGGAAGAAGAUUGAAAGACGGCUCUGCUGUCACUUAUAGAUGACCUUGCGGUGCAUUAGUUAGUUGGUGGGGUAACGGCCUACCAAGACGAUGAUGCAUAGCCGACCUGAGAGGGUGAUCGGCAACAUUGGGACUGAGACACGGCCCAAACUCCUACGGGAGGCAGCAGUAGGGAAUCUUCCGCAAUGGGCGAAAGCCUGACGGAGCAAUGCCGCGUGAGUGAAGAAGGCCUUCGGGUCGUAAAACUCUGUUAUAAGAGAAGAACAAAUUGUAGAGUAACUGCUACAGUCUUGACGGUAUCUUAUUAGAAAGCCACGGCUAACUACGUUCCAGCAGCCGCCGUAA
rnacentral:rRNA from 1 species